GGCGGCGUGCCUAAUACAUGCAAGUCGUACGCUUCUUUUUCCACCGGAGCUUGCUCCACCGGAAAAAGAGGAGUGGCGAACGGGUGAGUAACACGUGGGUAACCUGCCCAUCAGAAGGGGAUAACACUUGGAAACAGGUGCUAAUACCGUAUAACAAUCGAAACCGCAUGGUUUUUGAUUUGAAAGGCGCUUUCGGGUGUUCGCUGAUGGAUGGACCCGCGGUGCAUUAGCUAGUUGGUGAGGUAACGGCUCACCAAGGCCACGAUGCAUAGCCGACCUGAGAGGGUGAUCGGCCACAUUGGGACUGAGACACGGCCCAAACUCCUACGGGAGGCAGCAGUAGGGAAUCUUCGGCAAUGGACGAAAGUCUGACCGAGCAACGCCGCGUGAGUGAAGAAGGUUUUCGGAUCGUAAAACUCUGUUGUUAGAGAAGAAUAAGGAUGAGAGUAACUGUUCAUCCCUUGACGGUAUCUAACCAGAAAGCCACGGC
rnacentral:rRNA from 1 species